rnacentral:rRNA from 1 species
GACGAACCGUGCGAACGUUAUUCGGAAUCACUGGGCCUAAAGCGCGUGUAGGCGGGCCGGCACGUCCGAGGCUGAAAUCCCCCGGCUCAACCGGGGAACGGGCCCGGAUACGACCGGCCUGGAGGGGGGUAGGGGGAGCCGGAACUCACGGUGGAGCGGUGAAAUGCGUUGAGAUCGUGAGGAACGCCCGUGGCGAAAGCGGGCUCCUGGGCCCCGCCUGACGCUGAGACGCGAAAGCCAGGGGAGCGAACGGG